AUUGAACGCUGGCGGCAUGCCUUACACAUGCAAGUCGAACGGCAGCGCGGGGCAACCUGGCGGCGAGUGGCGAACGGGUGAGUAAUAUAUCGGAACGUACCCUGGAGUGGGGGAUAACGUAGCGAAAGUUACGCUAAUACCGCAUACGAUCUAAGGAUGAAAGUGGGGGAUCGCAAGACCUCAUGCUCCUGGAGCGGCCGAUAUCUGAUUAGCUAGUUGGUGGGGUAAAGCCUACCAAGGCAUCGAUCAGUAGCUGGUCUGAGAGGACGACCAGCCACACUGGGACUGAGACACGGGCCCAGACUCCUACGGGAGGCAGCAGUGGGGAAUUUUGGACAAUGGGGGCAACCCUGAUCCAGCAAUGCCGCGUGAGUGAAGAAGGCCU
rnacentral:rRNA from 1 species